UUGAAAGGGAAACGAUUGAAGUCAGUCAUACCAACGGGAAAUCAACCUUUUGAGCUUGGUCUCGUGGGUUUUGAAGAGUUUCAAAGCCUUCGGAUUCGCGGGAUUGGGAUCUCUUGGUGUACUUUUUCGUACGGUUAGUCAACAUCGGUUUUGAAUGUCAUAAAAUGACUGGAGGAAUGUAGCUUCGAUCUCGUAUUGAAGUGUUAUAGCCUUUGGUAGAUGUGAUGUUUGAGACCGAGGAUUGCAACGGAUACCCUUCAGGGCUAUUCGUCUGAUCUCUGAUACGUUGCCUUGAUGUUGAAAGCUUGCUUAUGAUGUUAGGGUAUUACGGUCAAAAGGUUAGAACGAAUUACAUUCGUUAAGGAUGUUGACGUAA
rnacentral:rRNA from 1 species